rnacentral:lncRNA from 1 species
CAUCGUUACAACAACAGUACCUAGACCCAUCAUUGUUUACAUUGAUUUUCAAAAUGAAUCUAUCGACAAUUUAAUGCGGUCAAACAAGACAGUAAAGUCUCUAUAAGGGACGAAUUAGUCGUUCAUUAGGCUGGUAUCCUUUUGUCCAAGUGGAAGUUAAACUUGGUGAUGCAGCUAAACCGGUCGUCGUAGUAAAAGUUGAACAAGCAACUUCAUUUUGGUACGAUUUUGAGGAGCUCAAUGUCAAACAGGAGAGUCUUAUCAAUUAAUCCUUGGUCCUUAGCACAAAUGUAGUCAAACGUAGUCAAAUGUAGUUAAAUAUAGUUAAGGUUAUAAGGUUCCUCAGCAC